UUUGCGGUUCGAGAAUUAGGUCUAACACAUAGUGGUGGGGGGGUUGAAAGUGUUUGAGAUGAUAAUUAAACUUAAUUAAAAUGCAUGGAAAUUAAACCCAGCUAAAUAUAACAGACAACAUUAAAGUGAAUAAAAGCAUUAAACCAAACCUAAAUGACAACAUAGUGAACUAAAAAAAUAAAAUAUAAACUGAACCGUCCUAAAUCUAAAACAAUUGCAAUGUUAAAAUAAAAAAAAAAAAAUCAAUUGCACAUUAUAUCAGGAAUCACAAUAAAAGAAAGGAACAUAUUGCAAGGGCAUUGAAAUUAAAAAGAAUAACUUUAAUUAGAAUUGAUUUAACUAUUUAAUCUAAUAAAAAUAUAAAAAUACGUAAUGAAACCAUAACAUGGAUAACAACAAAAAGCCAAUGAAAUUGGAGAAAUGGACAAAAACAUGAAAUCAGCAUGCGGCACACCAAAACCAAAGUGAAUCAGCGUGAACUUCUUUCAAAAGCAAAUAAAUUUAUCCUAAAACAUUGUUUUCCUAAAGCAGCCAUCCCAUAUGCACCACCUCAUCACUAAAUCACCAAAUUCUCUCUUCCAAUUAACAAAGCAACUCCUACUUUUUUUUAAAUGAAAUAAAUUGAAAAGGUGCUCAAGAAUUUUAUCAUCAACCCGUGACAUCCGUGCAGCAUCCUCCAAAAAGAAGAUGUAAAUCUCCAAAAAAUUGAAUCCCGUGCACACCCCAUCAGCGGUUUUCUAAACAUCACUUGGUUAAAUCAAAGGCAAUGCAAAAAGUCUUGGAAUAAAAGCAAACUCUAAAAAAGAAAAUGGCUGCAGCGUGGCAAUUCUUCAUUCUAGAAAAUUAAGUGCAAGCUAAAUCAAACAAAAGCAAAAUGCGGCUUGUGUUCAUUUAUCAGAUGCAAAGUAGAAGGAAAUUAAAUGCAAGUAGUAAAAUGUUAAACAGCAAAAUGCAUCAAACGAAGAUUGAAAGGGGGGCAGUUGCUGGUCUUCAAAAAUCCCGAGAGGGAGAGCUCCCAAAAAUCAGAGUGGCGGCUGGAAAUACUUCUCAAUCACCCAAAAUCCCAUGGAAACUUUCCAAAACUCUCCAUAAAGAAACAACGUUCCAGACCAAUGUAUAUUCUGCCGAGAGAGAGCCCCCACCAAAAAAAAUGACGGCUGCCAAAUCCUAGGACCUUGAGGUGUGUGCUGAAAAAUUAGGGUGGGUCCACCCAACCCUAGGUAGGACAUAUGUCAC
rnacentral:lncRNA from 1 species